UUGCGGUGAUGACAAUCUUAGGACACCUUUGGAGUAAACCAUGAAAGGAACUUAAGUAUCUGAGCAAC